rnacentral:rRNA from 1 species
AGGAUGAACGCUGGCGGCGUGCCUAAUACAUGCAAGUCGAGCGAACAGACGAGGAGCUUGCUCCUUUGACGUUAGCGGCGGACGGGUGAGUAACACGUGGGUAACCUACCUAUAAGACUGGGAUAACUUCGGGAAACCGGAGCUAAUACCGGAUAAUAUUUCGAACCGCAUGGUUCGAUAGUGAAAGAUGGCUUUGCUAUCACUUAUAGAUGGACCUGCGCCGUAUUAGCUAGUUGGUAAGGUAACGGCUUACCAAGGCAACGAUACGUAGCCGACCUGAGAGGGUGAUCGGCCACACUGGAACUGAGACACGGUCCAGACUCCUACGGGAGGCAGCAGUAGGGAAUCUUCCGCAAUGGGCGAAAGCCUGACGGAGCAACGCCGCGUGAGUGAUGAAGGUCUUCGGAUCGUAAAACUCUGUUAUUAGGGAAGAACAAACGUGUAAGUAACUGUGCACGUCUUGACGGUACCUAAUCAGAAAGCCACGGCUAACUACGUGCCAGCAGCCGCGGUAAUACGUAGGUGGCAAGCGUUAUCCGGAAUUAUUGGGCGUAAAGCGCGCGUAGGCGGUUUUUUAAGUCUGAUGUGAAAGCCCACGGCUCAACCGUGGAGGGUCAUUGGAAACUGGAAAACUUGAGUGCAGAAGAGGAAAGUGGAAUUCCAUGUGUAGCGGUGAAAUGCGCAGAGAUAUGGAGGAACACCAGUGGCGAAGGCGACUUUCUGGUCUGUAACUGACGCUGAUGUGCGAAAGCGUGGGGAUCAAACAGGAUUAGAUACCCUGGUAGUCCACGCCGUAAACGAUGAGUGCUAAGUGUUAGGGGGUUUCCGCCCCUUAGUGCUGCAGCUAACG